UAGGGAAUCUUCCACAAUGGACGCAAGUCUGAUGGAGCAACGCCGCGUGAGUGAAGAAGGUUUUCGGACCGUAAAGCUCUGUUGUUGGUGAAGAAGGAUAGAGGUAGUAACUGGCCUUUAUUUGACGGUAAUCAACCAGAAAGUCACGGCUAACUACGUGCCAGCAGCCGCGGUAAUACGUAGGUGGCAAGCGUUGUCCGGAUUUAUUGGGCGUAAAGCGAGCGCAGGCGGAAGAAUAAGUCUGAUGUGAAAGCCCUCGGCUUAACCGAGGAAUUGCAUCGGAAACUGUUUUCUUGAGUGCAGAAGAGGAGAGUAGAACUCCAUGUGUAGCGGUGGAAUGCGUAGAUAUAUGGAAGAAUACCAGUGGCGAAGGCGGCUCUCUGGUCUGCAACUGACACUGAGGCUCGAAAGCAUGGGUAGCGAACAGGAUUAGAUACCCUGGUAGUCCAUGCCGUAAACGAUGAGUGCUAAGUGUUGGGAGGCUUCCGCCUCUCAGUGCUGCAGCUAACGCAUUAAGCACUCCGCCUGGGGGAGUACGACCGCAAGGUUGAAAC
rnacentral:rRNA from 1 species